GUGGCUGUGGCACAGGGGUUGAGGAUCUGCUUGGUGUACAGAACGUCCCAGGUUCAAUCCUUGGUAGCUCCA
rnacentral:tRNA from 1 species